rnacentral:lncRNA from 1 species
AUCAAUAACCGCAAGUAACAUUGAAUUGUCAUGUUUUGUUAUUAUUUAAAUGUGUAUAUAAACAUUAACUCGGUGGAGAAAGAUUAUUGUACUCAGUUAGUAAUUAUUGUUGUAGUAGGUCGUUACUGUUAAAUGUAAACAUAUUGUUAUGGUUAGUCGUUGAUGGAGGUGAUUGUAAAUAUAAUGUAUUUGAACCAAACAA